GGAUGUAAGGGAGAUCUGGCUGUGACACCCAUCACCCACGGAUCUCAGGAUUGAUCCUACUUAUCUGGCUGGCUAGAUGCGUGUCCCCUUCCUCCCUCUCCACUCUGUGUGCCCCUCUCAAAGCCAUGUGCUCGGUGGAAGAGGGUGACCCCAACGAUUGAUGGUGUGUUUCUCAUAUGAGGGUGG
rnacentral:snRNA from 1 species